GCCUUCAAUACUGCACAACAUGCAACAUUCCACCCUACUUUUUGGAUUUUUGGAGACUAUUUUGAGUCUGUCCCAAUGAGGUGAGGAAUGCUCUCUUUGAAAGACUCAGAGCCCCAUGUGGUUGUGGUUAGGACUCCAGGCACGGACGAGCGUUAGUGACGCAGGCUAGAGGAAAUUACCGCAGCUUCCUGCAGCCUUCAAAAAAGCCUUCAGGUCCCCCUUGUGCCGCCAAAACAGCUCUGACCUGUCUAGGCACGGACUCCACAAGACCUCUGACGGUGUGCUGUGGUAUCUGGCACCAAGACUUUAGCAGCAGAUCCUUUAAGUUCUGCAAGUUGUGAGGUGGGACCUCCAUGGAUUGGACUUGUUUGUCCAGCACAUCCUACAGAUGCUUGAUCAGUUUUAGAUCUGGGGAAUUCGCUCCCCAAACGCAACAGUGAGCUUUGGGCACUCAUGACCAUGUUGCAGGUUCAUCGCUUGUCCUUCCUUGUAGCACUUUUGAGAGGUACUAAUCACUGCAUACAGGGAACACCCCACAAGACCUGCCCUUUUUGGAUGGGUCUAGCAUUCAUAAAUUUGGCCCUUGUCAAAGUCACUCAGAUCCUUAUGUUUGUCCAUUUUUCCUACUUCCAACACAUCAACCUCGUGACCUGACUGUUCACUUUCUGCCUAACAUAUCCCACCCCUUGACAGGUGCCAUUGUAACGAGAUAAUCAAUGUUAUUCACUCCACCUGUCAGUGAUGUUAAUGUUAUGGC
ensembl:lncRNA